ACUGCUAAUACCGAAUGUGCCUUAGGGUAGAAAGAUUUAUUGUCUAGAGAUUGGCUCGCGUCAGAUUAGCUAGUUGGAGUGGUAACGGCACACCAAGGCGACGAUCUGUACUUGGUCUGAGAGGAUGACCAGGCACACUGGAACUGAGACACGGUCCAGACUCCUACGGGAGGCAGCAGUGGGGAAUUUUCCGCAAUGGGCGAAAGCCUGACGGAGCAAUACCGCGUGAGGGAGGACGGCUUUUGGGUUGUAAACCUCUUUUAUCAGGGAAGAAUCGAUGACGGUACCAGAUGAAUCAGCAUCGGCUAACUCCGUGCCAGCAGCCGCGGUAAUACGGAGGAUGCAAGCGUUAUCCGGAAUUAUUGGGCGUAAAGCGUCCGUAGGUGGUUUAUCAAGUCUGCUGUCAAAGCGUGCGGCUUAACCGCAUAAGGGCAGUGGAAACUGAUGAACUAGAGUGCGAUAGGGGUAACAGGAAUUCCCAGUGUAGCGGUGAAAUGCGUAGAUAUUGGGAAGAACACCAGCGGCGAAAGCGUGUUACUGGGUCUGCACUGACACUGAGGGACGAAAGCUAGGGGAGCGAAAGGGAUUAGAUACCCCUGUAGUCCUAGCCGUAAACGAUGACAACUAGGCGUGGUUCGUAUCGACCCGAGCCGUGCCGUAGCCAACGCGUUAAGUUGUCCGCCUGGGGAGUACGCACGCAAGUGUGAAACUCAAAGGAAUUGACGGGGGCCCGCACAAGCGGUGGAGUAUGUGGUUAAUUCGAUGCAACGCGAAGAACCUUACCAAGGCUUGACAUCCUCGGAACCCUGAUGAAAGUUAGGGGUGCCUUCGGGAGCCGAGAGACAGGUGGUGCAUGGCUGUCGUCAGCUCGUGUCGUGAGAUGUUGGGUUAAGUCCCGCAACGAGCGCAACCCACGUUUUUAGUUGCCAGCAUUCAGUUGGGCACUCUAGAGAGACUGCCGGUGACAAACCGGAGGAAGGUGUGGAUGACGUCAAGUCAGCAUGCCCCAUACGCCUUGGGCUACACACGUACUACAAUGCGUCGGACAAAGAGCAGCUAGCCAGCGAUGGUGAGCCAAUCUCAUAAACCGACGCUCAGUC
rnacentral:rRNA from 1 species